rnacentral:tRNA from 1 species
GUUUCCCUAGUUCAACGGAUAGAACAGGCCCCUCCUAAGGGUCAGAUCGGGGUUCGAUUCCCCGGGGGAACG